rnacentral:rRNA from 1 species
GAUGAACGCUGGCGGCGUGCCUAAUACAUGCAAGUCGAGCGAACGGACGAGAAGCUUGCUUCUCUGAUGUUAGCGGCGGACGGGUGAGUAACACGUGGAUAACCUACCUAUAAGACUGGGAUAACUUCGGGAAACCGUAGCUAAUACCGGAUAAUAUUUUGAACCGCAUGGUUCAAAAGUGAAAGACGGUCUUGCUGUCACUUAUAGAUGGAUCCGCGCUGCAUUAGCUAGUUGGUAAGGUCACGGCUUACCAAGGGAACGAUGCAUAGCCGACGGGAGAGGGUGAUCGGCGACACUGGAACUGGGACACGGUCCAGACUCCUACGGGAGGGAGCAGUCGGGAAUCGUCCGCAACGGUCGAGAGCCUUACGGAGCAACGCCGCGUGAGUGAUGAAGGUCUUCGGAGCGUAAAGCUCUGUUAUUAGGGAAGAACAGAUGUGUAAGUAACUGUGCACAGCUUGACGGUACCUAAUCAGAAAGCAACGGCUAACUACGUG